AGGAUUUCAGGAAUGUAUUCUCCCCAUCAACUCCUCUCACCCAAGGUGGACUUUGCAUAAUACCCCAGAAGGUAUUUUUUCCUUCUCCAACUUAAGUUCUGUCAGCAGAAGGGCCAGUUAUAGGAACCAUGUUGAUUCCCUUGGAGGCAUAGUCAGCCCCUGCGAGUCUUCUUUUCUUUUUUCUUCAUGCUCUGGAUCAAGUUGGACAGGAUGGCUGCAUCUUUUCAGGAUCCACGCAUCUCCUUCAUCUGUGGAAAUACAAAGAAAACCUCGACCCCAGAUUAUUACCUUAGCAAGGCCCCUCGACACCCUGUUACAUCACAUACUGUGACCAAAGGGCUGGCAGGCAAAGCUGGACCCUUAACCUUUUCUGUUGCUUUUUGUUUGAGGAAAAAUGAUGUAGUGAAGAAAAAAUAAAUCAACUGGGAUGUGGGACACAUUAUUCAAUGUGAGAUAAUCAAUGGUAUAGAAUGCUUUAGCAAGUCUGUUCUUGGGGGAUGUCUCCUUUUUGUUUAUUAAGAAUGGCUUUCAAAGUAAUGUUCUUACCCUCUACUUCUCCUGAUUUUGAUAAGCAAAUUUUUAUAAUGUUAUAUAAAGAGAGGAUAUCAGAACACACUACUUGAGGGCCUUUCUCUUUGCCUAUUUUGUAUAAAGUUUCUCCCACAGCUUCCUUCACUGAUAGUGAUCUGGGGGCCCAUGGGAAACCAUUGUAAACAUCUUGUAGAAACACUCAACUAAUUUUUUUUUAGCCUUUACUCCCUUUUUUAACAUGAUUAACUGUAAAAAUUUAAGAUCUUUCCCAUCAUUCUUCAAUCCUUUAACUAUUUGCCAUUUGUCGUAACCAGCACAAUGGUUUAGUGGCUAGUGACGGUUGAAAAUAAGGAUAGGAGUUGCUGAUAAUUCAAAGGAGCCAUUUAUUAAGAGGAAACCAUGCUGCUUACAUAUCUUAAAACUAUGUAUUAUUAUGAAAGGCAUUGUUCUGUGAUCAACCUUGUUUUCUGUUUUCUAUAAUCUAACUCUGGAGCAUGUUGUUAGUUUCUAGGGACUUAAUCUUAUGUAAAGUUCAUAAUGUCCCAGUAAUUGUGCCAGGACCUUAUGUUUUCUCAUGGUUUCAAGCUUAAAUGCAUCUUUGAUUAAGCUUAGGAAGAGGGAAACCUCCCAGUUACUGAAGUUUCUAGCUUCCUGGGAGUUCUCUACAUCCUUAGAUUUCUUCCAAUCAUUGCAAAGGCUUAGAAAUAGAAGAUAAAGCAUACUGUAAGCAGUGAAUAGAAUUGCAAUUUUUGUGCAAUGGGAAAAUGAAAGACUGGAAAGAUAGGAGAGAUGAACUCAGAUUGAGAUAACGGAGGAUUCUGCUCUAGAUAGAAAGGCUUGGAGAGACUUUACAUGAACUGAUGCUGAGUGAAAUGAGCAGAACCAGGAGAUCAUUAUAUACUUCAACAACAAUACUAUAUGAAGAUGUUAUUAUGAUGGAAGUGGAUUUCUUUAACAAAAAGACCUAACUCAGUUUCAACUGAUCGAUGAUGAAGCAGCUACAUCCAAAGAAAGAACACUGGGAAAUGAAUAUAAACUGCUUGCAUUUUUGUUUUUCUUCCUGGGUUAUUUCUACCUUCUGAAUUCAAUUCUCCCUGUGCAACAAGAGAACUGUUUGGUUCUGCACACAUAUAUUGUAUCUAGGAUAUACUGCAACAUAUUUAACAUAUGUAGGACUGCUUGCCAUCUGGGGGAAGUAGUGGAGGGAGGGAGGGAGGGGAAAAAUCGGAACAGAAGUGAAUGCAAGAGACAAUGUUGUAAAAAAUUACCCUGGCAUGGGUUUUGUCAAUAAAAAGUUAUUUAAAAAAAAAAAAAGAAAUUAAAGUCAUUUCUAGUCAUACGAAAAAAAGCUCUAAGUCAUGAUUGAUUAGUGAAAUGCAAAUUAAGACAACUCUGAGGUAUCCCUACACACCUGUCAUAUUGGCGAAGAUGACAGGACAAAAUAAUGAUAAAUGUUGGAGGAAAUGUGAGAAAACUGAGACACUAAUACAUUGUUGGUAGUGUUGUAAAUUGAUCCAACUAUUCUGGAGAGCAUUUUGUAACUAUGCCCAAAAGGCUAUCAAACUGUACAUACCCUUUAAUCCAGCAGUGUCUCUACUGGGUCUGUAAUCCAAAGAGAUCAAGAAAUAGGGGGAAAGGAUCCAUGUGUACAAAAAUGUUUGUUGCAGCCCUUUUUGUAGUGGCAAAGAAGUGAAAAAUGAGUGGGUGCGUAUCAGUUGGGGAAUGGCUGAAGUAGUUAUGGUAUAUGAAUAUCAUAAAAUAUUAUUGUUCUAUAAGAAACGAUCAGCAGGAUCAUUUCAGAGAGGCCUGGAAAGACUUACAUGAACUAAUACUAAGUGAAAUCAGCAGAACCAGGAGAUCAUAAUUCAUGGCAAUAACAAGAUAUGUGAUGAUCAACUCUGACGGAUGUGGCUCUUUUCAACAUUGAGGUGAUUCAGGCCAUUUCUAAUAGACUUGUGAUGUAGGGAGUCGUCUGUACCCAGAGAGAGGACUGUGGGGACUGAGUGUGGAUCACAACAUACCGUGUUUCCCCAAUAAUAAGACACUGUCUUAUUAUUUUUUGGACAGAAAAACACCAGAGGGCUUAUUUUCAGGGGAGGGCUUAUUUUAAUGAACAUUGACAGCAAUUUUAAUAAACAGGUAAAUGUGAACAAAAAAAAGUACCUUUAUUUAAUAAUGAUCAUGUCAUCUUCUUCAACAACAUCAUCAUAAGUGUCCAUACCCUGAAUUCCGUCCUGGAUGUCUUGCGCCUCUAUUUCCUUCAGAAGAAGUGGACCCAAUCUGUCAUGUCCAGCAAUAUAGCUCUCUUUAAAUGAACAUGUCUUGUCCAGGUAACCUGCUCGUAGUGCCUUGGCGACACAGCUGUCAGUAAUUUUAUCCCAUGACUUCUUCAUCCAAGUCAUGACUUCUUGCAGACAGGGCUUCACAAAGUUUCCACGCUGAUUUCUUUCCAUUCUAUUUUCAAUGUAGUCAUCGACUUCCAUGCACAAAUGGUCCUUGAAUGGCUUGUUUAUUGCAAUAUCAAGGGUCUGGAGACAGGCAGUCAUUCCUGCAGGAAUCAUUACUUGAUCUAUUCUUCUCUCUGCAAAGAAGUUCUUCAUUUCUUUAGCGCGGUGAGUGCUGGCUGAGUUCUUCUUUUAUCCUCCAUCAUGCCCCCUGAGUUCUUCUUUUAUCCUCCAUCAUGCCCCCUCACUCCCGCUUACAUACCGGGUUUUUAUGUUAUCCUACUUCAGCUCUCCUCCGCGGCACUGGUCUCAAUGGCGCUAGCAAGCAAAUCACUGGGGAAGAACAGGAUGAUGCGCUCACUGCUGCAGCUCUGAUUGGAUGCAGCUCGGAGUGCGCGGCAUGUGUUUCACCCGGAGGGGGGUGGGGUGGGGGUGGGAGGGGACAGUGCAUACAGAGGGUACCGUAAUGUAACGUGUAGUGCAGGGGAUCACCUUCACUACAGUACCAAUCACACAUAUCCACAACCAAGCUGGCCUCAUGCUCCCAGGAGGCAGAGAGGAAGAAGUUGUUAUUUCUUCUCAAAAUUUCUUGGUUUUGUGUCCAGUCAUUUUUCUUUCUUGAAGGCUUUUGAAUGUAGCUGCUUUGACAAUUUUCUUUUUCUGAAUUUCUCUUUCCUGUCACCACUACAGCUUUUUAUGGUCAUUUUUUGUUGUUUGCUCAUUUUCCACACUCUUUUUUGCUUUUCACAAUGUGGUUUUCUGAGCUAGUUUCAGGGGUUUGGAAGUUUUUAGUUUUUUCAAAGUGGUGUAAGAUAAGGAGAAUUGUGGGCACUGCUUAUCUUAUCUUCAUUUUGAUCUUUACCCAGCAAAUACUUGGGAUCCCUUGGGAUUGUAAUGAAAACUGCUUCUUACAUCUAUCUCCUUCUCUCUUGGGACCAGGAGCUCAGUGCCCCCACUCCCUCUUGACUAAAAAUGCUUUUCUUUGUACCUUUGAACUAUGAUACAAAAGUGGGUACAAGCAAUGAAAUUGUCAGUCUCUAGUACUACAUCCACUGGCCAAUUAUGAGGUCUUUCUAAUAAUUCUAGCUUGAGAGCUCCUGCUGCUGCUUCUGUCACCACUACUUAAUCCCAUCACUGAUAUUUCAUCUACUUGAGCUCCAUUGUAAACCCUCUCCUAUAUUGUCUUAGGCUGGAAGGAUGUUUCACUGUAAACUUUCAUUAGUUUUACACAUCCACAGUUUGUUCUGAGUUAUUAUUUUAAAACUGCUGAGAGAACUGGAUCAAGCACUUUUCCACUCUGCCAUCUUGGCUAUAGCCCCCUACCCCCAGGCCAUCUUUUCAAAAAGAGUAUGAGGCAGCCAUGGGUCCAGAAAAAAAGAUGUAUAAGCAAGGUUGUACAGAAGGACACAGAUGAGACAAUAUAAUUCACCAGGAAGGAAACAAUCAUGAGGUGGAUAGGAGAUAGAAGUGAAAGAUAGAAGCACAUAAUGAUGCUUUCCUCAAGAAUUUAUUUUUCUAAUAGUGAAACAAAAUAGAAAGAAAGAGAUUUACAAGUUGCUUAGAAGAAGCUCAUAUGAGGUAAUUAAAGGACUUUCUUUGAUAAACAAAGAUUAGAAAAUAAAAUUUUAAGAGAAGAUCAGAAGAAAAAAGAAUUAAUGAAGGGAACAAAGAAAAAAGCUUGCUGAGAAAAAGAGGAAGUAAAAAUUUUUAUACAUGAAAAUUUAAAGAAAAUGAGGAGAAAUUUUGAAUAUGCUAUAUGAGACAGUAAAGACAAGAGAGAAGAGAAAAAACAUAUAAGAAAGAAAUAUUAAUUGAUAGUCUAAAUUAAAUCUGAAAAUUGUGAAAGGAAUAGACAAAGAGAAGGAAGAGAGAAGAAAACCUGUGAAAAGAGAAAUGUUUCAAAGUAAUAUAGGCAAAUAGCAAGGUGUAACAGUGGAUAAAGUAACAUUCCUAGAAUUAGAAAGACUCAAUCUGAGUGUGUGUGUGUGUGCGUGUGUGUAUAACUGGCAAAAGCUCCUAAUGACAGUUUUAAUUUCCUCUUUAAUUUCAUUUUUGAGACUGAUAUUUUUUAAUGAAUGUAUCUGUUUUAUUGGGUUGUUUUUAUUUUUUUGUUUUUUCCAUAAAACCAGCUCCUACUUUUGUUUAUUAUUAGUUCAAUAGUUUUCUUUCAAUUUUAUCAACCUUAGUAGUUUUUAAAGCUUUUCAAUUUAGUGUUUAAUUUUUAAUUUGUUCUUUUUUCUAUUUUUUUAAAAACUUAAAUGCCCAAUUCAUUUAUCCAUUCUUUCUUUAUGUUAUUAUAAACCUUUAGUGAUAUAAAUUUUCCUUUUGGUAUUGCUUUGGCUACACCCCACAAAUUUUGAUACAUGGUUAGUUUUCAUUGUUGUCAUUCUCUUUAAUGAAAUUACUGAUUGUUUCUGUGGCAUGCUUUUUGAUCCAUCCAUUCUUCAUGAAUGGAUUGAGUUCCAAUUAAUUUUAAAUCAAUUUUUCUACAAUCCUUUAUUGAAUGGAGUUUUCAUUGCAUUAUGAUCUGAAAAGAAUACAUUUACUAUUUCUGCUUUUCUGUACUUAUGUGUGACAUGUUUAUGCCCCAAUACAUGGUUAAUUUUUAUGCAGAGAUCACAUACCACUGAGAAAAGGUAUCCCUUUCCAUUUCCAUUCAAUUUUUCCCAACAGUCUAUCAUAGCUAACUUUUCUAAAAUUCUAUUCAGCUCCUUAAUUUCUUUCUUGUUUAUUUUAUCGUUAGCUAUAUCUCAUUCUAAGAGGGGAUAACUUAGGUAUACACCUUUUCUAUUUCCUCCCAUAAGUUCUCCUUUAAAAAUGUACCAUUUGGUGCAUAUAUAUUUAGUAUUCAUAUUACUAUAUUAUCCAUAGUACAUAUUCAGUAAGAUGGAAUUUUCUCCUUUAUAUCUGUCAAUUAGAUCUAUUUUUACUUUUGUUUUGAAAAUAUGAUUGCUAGCCCUAUUUUGUUUAUUUCAGUAGAAGUAUAACAGAUUGUGGUCUAGCUCCUAAUCUUUACUUUGUGUAUGUUUCUUUGUUUCAAAUUUCUUAUAAACAAAUAUAAAAAUCUGUUUUUUAAUACAUUCAGCUAUUCACUUCUAUAUUUUUGCCUUUUAUCUCCCUCCUAACAGCUCCCACCCCUUCCUAAUAAAAGAAAGAUUCAAGCACUGCUUACCAUCCCCUACCACUCCAUCAACUAAUUUUAUGGCUAUAUAUUCACAGAUAUUUUUCUGCUAUUCCAAGUCACAACUAAGGUAUGAACAAAGUAAAUAGUCAUAUAUGGAACUAUACAUGGGGGUGAAAAGGAGAAGGAAUAUUUUUAUAUGUUAUGUUCCUUAAAGCCUCCAAAAUAUAUAUAUUUUUAAUGAAAUGUAAGGGGUUUGAUUUUCAAAUGUAAAAAGCAAGGAAAAGGGCAAUAUGAAAAAGUUCCUAGGAUUUGCAUGGAUAUGAUUAUAUCUGUAAUAGUCAUUUAUUUGUAAUACCUUGAAUGCUGGUACUUGUUCCCAUCCUAUAUUUCUUGUUUAUAGACACCUUCCCAAAUGUCAGAAAAUUGAAAACUGCUAUGUUAAUGAUCCCCUUCCCCUGCAUAUUGUUCUUAAACUUAUUAUUAUUAUAAUAUAAUCAAUAUUCUAGUUUCUACCAUUCACUUCACCACUGAAAUUACUGACAUCAAGAGGUCCUCAUUUUCUGAGCUGAUAUCAAAUUAAUUUCAAAAGUUUCUUUACUCUUUUAAGAGUGUGGUCAAAUCCCUAACCCCUUAAUUCUUUUCAAGAGAAAUUUCUCAA